rnacentral:lncRNA from 1 species
UCCCCACCAUCACCAUGGACGAAGAUCAUCCCUUUCCACUAGAUGGGAGUAGCGCGUUAAGUGGUGGCGCCUAUGAUCAAAGCUAAUCUUCCACCAGUUUCGUAAUAUAGCCUACACAAUUUGACUUGGGUACCCUAGAUUGCUUUAAAUGCGACACUGGAUAUGCAAAUAUCCUCAAACUAGUGGUCUGGGUGGAAAAAACUGUUAAAAAAUGAAUGAAACAGCC